rnacentral:rRNA from 1 species
AGCAGCCGCGGUAAUUCCAGCUCCAAUAGCGUAUAUUAAAGUUGUUGCAGUUAAAAAGCUCGUAGUUGAAUUUCGGGAUCAGUGGGCUGGUCGUGCCUUCGGUAUGUACUGGUGUUACUGGUUCCUACCUUCUGACGAACCGUCAUGCCAUUAAUUUGGUGUGGCGGGGAAUCAGGACUGUUACUUUGAAAAAAUUAGAGUGUUUAAAGCAGGCUCGCGCUUGAAUACAUUAGCAUGGAAUAAUGAAAUAGGACGUUCGAUCCUAUUUUGUUGGUUUCUAGGAUUGACGUAAUGAUUAAUAGGGAUAGUUGGGGGCAUUAGUAUUCAAUUGUUAGAGGUGAAAUUCUUGGAUUUAUUGAAGACUAACUACUGCGAAAGCAUUUGCCAAGGAUGUUUUCAUUAAUCAAGAACGAAAGUUAGGGGAUCGAAGACGAUCAGAUACCGUCGUAGUCUUAACCAUAAACUAUGCCGACUAGGGAUCGGAUGAUGUUAAUUUUUAAUGACUCAUUCGGCGCCUUAC